rnacentral:rRNA from 1 species
GGUGGAGCAUGUGGUUAAUUCGAAGCAACGCGAAGAACCUUACCAGGCCUUGACAUGCAGAGAACUUUCCAGAGAUGGAUUGGUGCCUUCGGGAACUCUGACACAGGUGCUGCAUGGCUGUCGUCAGCUCGUGCGUGAGAUGUUGGGUUAAGUCCGUAACGAGCGCAACCCUUGUCCUUAGUUACCAGCACGUUAUGUGGGCACUCUAAGGAGACUGCCGGUGACAAACCGGAGGAAGGUGGGGAUGACGUCAAGUCAUCAUGGCCCUUACGGCCUGGGCUACACACGUGCUACAAUGGUCGGUACAAAGGGUUGCCAAGCCGCGAGGUGGAGCUAAUCCCAUAAAACCGAUCGUAGUCCGGAUCGCAGUCUGCAACUCGACUGCGUGAAGUCGGAAUCGCUAGUAAUCGUGAAUCAGAAUGUCACGGUGAAUACGUUCCCGGGCCUU